UAGGGAAUAUUGGACAAUGGGGGCAACCCUGAUCCAGCCAUGCCGCGUGAGUGAAGAAGGCCCUCGGGUUGUAAAGCUCUUUUGUCCGGAAAGAAAAGCAUUCGGUGAAUACCCGGAUGUUCUGACGGUACCGGAAGAAUAAGCACCGGCUAACUUCGUGCCAGCAGCCGCGGUAAUACGAAGGGUGCAAGCGUUACUCGGAAUUACUGGGCGUAGAGCGUGCGUAGGUGGUUGUUUAAGUCUGAUGUGAAAGCCCUGGGCUCAACCUGGGAAUGGCAUUGGAAACUGGGCAGCUAGAGUGCGGUAGAGGGUAGUGGAAUUCCCGGUGUAGCAGUGAAAUGCGUAGAGAUCGGGAGGAGCAUCUGUGGCGAAGGCGACUGCCUGGACCAGCACUGACACUGAGGCACGA
rnacentral:rRNA from 1 species